AUCCAGAUGACGAGUCCCAAAUAGAACGAAACGCGCGUCCAACUGUAU
rnacentral:hammerhead_ribozyme from 1 species